CACGUAGGGAGCAAGCGUUGUCCGGAAUUAUUGGGCGUAAAGAGCUCGUAGGCGGUCUGUUGCGUCCGCUGUGAAAACCCGGGGCUUAACCCUGGGCUGGCAGUGGAUACGGACAGACUAGAGGUAGGUAGGGGAGAAUGGAAUUCCCGGUGUAGCGGUGAAAUGCGCAGAUAUCGGGAGGAACACCGGUGGCGAAGGCGGUUCUCUGGGCCUUACCUGACGCUGAGGAGCGAAAGCGUGGGGAGCGAACAGG
rnacentral:rRNA from 1 species